UGCCUACGGGGGGCAGCAGUGAGGAAUAUUGGUCAAUGGGCGGAAGCCUGAACCAGCCAAGUCGCGUGAGGGAAUAAGGCCCUACGGGUCGUAAACCUCUUUUGCCGGGGAGCAAGGGCGGGGACGUGUCCCGGCCCGGAGAGUACCCGGAGAAAAAGCAUCGGCUAACUCCGUGCCAGCAGCCGCGGUAAUACGGAGGAUGCGAGCGUUAUCCGGAUUUAUUGGGUUUAAAGGGUGCGUAGGCGGACUGGAAAGUCAGCGGUAAAAUCGAGAGGCUCAACCUCUUUCCGCCGUUGAAACUGUCG
rnacentral:rRNA from 1 species